rnacentral:rRNA from 1 species
GACGAACGCUGGCGGCGUGCUUAACACAUGCAAGUCGAACGAAGAGCGAUGGAAGCUUGCUUCUAUCAAUCUUAGUGGCGAACGGGUGAGUAACGCGUAAUCAACCUGCCCUUCAGAGGGGGACAACAGUUGGUAACGACUGAAUAAUACCGCAUACGAUCUAAUCUCGGCAUCGAGGAUAGAUGAAAGGUGGCCUCUACAUGUGAGCUAUCACUGAAGGAGGGGAUUGCGUCUGAUUAGCUAGUUGGAGGGGUAACGGCCCACCAAGGCGAUGGUCAGUAGCCGGUCUGAGAGGAUGAACGGCCACAUUGGGACUGAGACAUGGCCCAGACUCCUACGGGAGGCAGCAGUGGGGAAUCUUCCGCAAUGGACGAAAGUCUGACGGAGCAACACCGCGUGAGUGAUGACGGCCUUCGGGUUGUAAAGCUCUGUUAAUCGGGACGAAAGGCCUUCUUGCGAACAGUUAAAAGGAUUGACGGUACCGGAAUAGAAAGCCACGGCUAACUACGUGCCAGCAGCCGCGGUAAUACGUAGGUGGCAAGCGUUGUCCGGAAUUAUUGGGCGUAAAGCGCGCGCAGGCGGAUCAGUCAGUCUGUCUUAAAAGUUCGGGGCUUAACCCCGUGAUGGGAUGGAAACUGCUGAUCUAGAGUAUCCGAGAGGAAAGUGGAAUUCCUAGUGUAGCGGUGAAAUGCGUAGAUAUUAGGAAGAACACCAGUGGCGAAGGCGACUUUCUGGACGAAAACUGACGCUGAGGCGCGAAAGCCAGGGGAGCGAACGGGAUUAGAUACCCCGGUAGUCCUGGCCGUAAACGAUGGGUACUAGGUGUAGGAGGUAUCGACCCCUUCUGUGCCCGGAGUUAACGCAAUAAGUACCCCGCCUGGGGAGUACGACCGCAAGGUUGAAACUCAAAGGAAUUGACGGGGGCCCCCACAAGCGGUG